rnacentral:rRNA from 1 species
AACUCCGUGCCAGCAGCCGCGGUAAUACGGAGGAUGCAAGCGUUAUCCGGAAUUAUUGGGCGUAAAGGGUCCGCAGGUGGUCACUCAAGUCUGCUGUCAAAGGCGGGGGCUUAACUCCCGAAAGGCAGUGGAAACUGGGAGACUAGAGUACGGUAGGGGUAGAGGGAAUUCCCAGUGUAGCGGUGAAAUGCGUAGAGAUUGGGAAGAACACCAGUGGCGAAGGCGCUCUACUGGGCCGAAACUGACACUGAGGGACGAAAGCU